UUGACGGAGAUGAUUAAUUUGCAAAUGGAUGAGUGGGAGUGAGGUGUUGUUUUGUGGUAGGGUUGGUGGACUGUGAGUUGGUCGGUCUA
rnacentral:sRNA from 11 species